rnacentral:rRNA from 1 species
UACGUAGGGGGCGAGCGUUGUCCGGAUUUAUUGGGCGUAAAGAGCUCGUAGGCGGUUCGGUAAGUCGGGUGUGAAAUCUCCACGCUCAACGUGGAGGGGCCACUCGAUACUGCCGUGACUCGAGUCCGGUAGAGGAGUGUGGAAUUCCCGGUGUAGCGGUGAAAUGCGCAGAUAUCGAGAGGAACACCUGCGGCGAAGGCGGGUAGCUGGGCCGACACUGACGCUGAUGCGCGAAAGCCAGGGGAGCGAACGGG